rnacentral:sRNA from 1 species
AGAAGGGGGCAAAGCAGACACCCUGAGCUCCAAACUGCAGGCCGGGGAUGAGGUUGUGCACAUCAAUGAGGUGACUCUGAGCAGCUCCAGAAAGGAGGCAGUUUCCCUGGUGAAAGGAUCCUACAAGACCCUCAGGCUGGUAGUGCGCAGAGAUGUGUGCACAGACCCAGGCCAUGCAGAUACUAGUGCCUCUAACUUCGUCAGCCCAGAACACCUCACCUCUGGCCCCCAGCACAGGAAAGCAGCGUGGUCAGGAGGGGUUAAACUUCGGCUGAAGCACAGGCGCAGUGAGCCUGCAGGCCGACCUCACUCGUGGCACACAACUAAAUCUGGGGAGAAGCAACCCGAUGCCAGCAUGAUGCAGAUAUCUCAGGGUAUGAUCGGCCCUCCUUGGCACCAAAGCUACCAUUCCAGGAUGUGCUUUUGGGGCAAGACAGUGGCUUUGGUCUUGUGAAGGAUCCAUGUUAUUUGGCUGGUCCUGGAUCUAGGUCACUCAGUUGUUCAGAAAGAGGCCAAGAAGAGAUGCUGCUGCUCUUCCACCAUCUCACCCCUCGUUGGGGUGGUUCAGGCUGCAAAGCCAUUGGUGAUUCCUCUGUUCCUAGUGAAUGUCCUGGAACCCUGGACCAUCAGAGGCAAGCCAGUAGGACACCCUGCCCCAGGCCACCACUGGCAGGAACUCAAGGGCAGCUCACAGACACCAGGGCUGCACCCCUGACCCCAAUUGGCACCCCUCUGCCUUCAGCCAUUCCCUCUGGCUACUGCUC